UACGAAGGGGGCUAGCGUUGCUCGGAAUUACUGGGCGUAAAGGGCGCGUAGGCGGCACUGUUAGUCAGGCGUGAAAGUCCUGGGCUCAACCUGGGAACUGCGCUUGAUACGGCAGAGCUAGAGGAUGGAAGAGGCUCGCGGAAUUCCCAGUGUAGAGGUGAAAUUCGUAGAUAUUGGGAAGAACACCGGUGGCGAAGGCGGCCCGCUGGGCAGGAAGGCUCGCAAGAGCCGGCUGACACUGAGGCGCGACAGCGUGGGGAGCAAACAGG
rnacentral:rRNA from 1 species